rnacentral:rRNA from 1 species
GCGAGAUUGAAGUGAGAAUCUUCAAGGCCGAAUAUCUAAGGUUUCCAGGGUAAAGCUGAUCUGCCCUGGGUAAGUCGGGGCCUAAGGCAAGGUCGAAAGACGUAGUCGAUGGAUAACAGGUUGAAAUUCCUGUACUGCAUCAAAUCAGAAAUGUGGGGACACAUGAGGGAAGCAUGAGCCGGAAAAGGAAAGUCCGGUACAAGCGCAGCAGAGGACAGAUAGGCAAAUCCGUCUGUCAACUCAAGGGCGUGAUGUGGAGCGAACCAAAGUAGCGAAGCAUGUGGAGCUUGUGUCGAGAAAAGCCGCUAUUGUGUUUGAUGUACCCGUACCGUAAACCGACACAGGUGGAUGAGGAGAGAAUCCUAAGGCCGGCGGGAGAAGCAUUGUUAAGGAACUCGGCAAAAUGACCCCGUAACUUCGGGAGAAGGGGUGCUCCAGAGAUGGAGCCGCAGAGAACUGGCCCAAGCAACUGUUUAGCAAAAACACAGGUCUAUGCAAAACCGAAAGGUGAGGUAUAUGGGCUGACGCCUGCCCGGUGCUGGAAGGUUAAGAGGAGAGGUUAGCGCAAGCGAAGCUUUGAAUUUAAGCCCCAGUAAACGGCGGCCGUAACUAUAACGGUCCUAAGGUAGCGAAAUUCCUUGUCGGGUAAGUUCCGACCCGCACGAAAGGCGUAAUGAUUUGGGCACUGUCUCGACAAUGCACCCGGUGAAAUUGAAAUACCAGUGAAGAUGCUGGUUACCUGCGCCAGGACGGAAAGACCCCAUGGAGCUUUACUCUAGCUUGAUACUGGGGUUCGGUAUUGCAUGUACAGGAUAGGUGGGAGACGAAGAGGCAGUGACGCCAGUUGCUGCGGAGUCGAUGUUGGGAUACCACCCCUGCAGUACUGGGUUUCUAACCUGCGGCCGUGACCCGGCCGGGGGACAAUGUCUGGUGGGGAGUUUGACUGGGGCGGUCGCCUCCGAAAGGGUAUCGGAGGCGCUCAAAGGUUCCCUCAGAAUGGUUGGAAACCAUUCGAAGAGUGCAAAGGCAGAAGGGAGCUUGACUGCGACACCGACGGGUGGAGCAGGUACGAAAGUAGGACUUAGUGAUCCGGUGGUAUGAAAGUGGGAUUGCCAUCGCUCAACGGAUAAAAGCUACCCUGGGGAUAACAGGCUUAUCACUCCCAAGAGUUCACAUCGACGGAGUGGUUUGGCACCUCGAUGUCGGCUCAUCGCAUCCUGGGGCUGUAGUAGGUCCCAAGGGUUGGGCUGUUCGCCCAUUAAAGCGGUACGCGAGCUGGGUUCAGAACGUCGUGAGACAGUUCGGUCCCUAU